rnacentral:rRNA from 1 species
UACGUAGGGGGCAAGCGUUGUCCGGAAUCAUUGGGCGUAAAGAGCGUGUAGGCGGCCUGGUAAGUCCGCUGUGAAAGUCCAGGGCUCAACCCUGGAAUGCCGGUGGAAACUGUCAGGCUCGAGUCCGGAAGAGGCGAGUGGAAUUCCUGGUGUAGCGGUGAAAUGCGCAGAUAUCAGGAGGAACACCGGUGGCGAAGGCGACUCUUUGGCCUGUAACUGACGCUGAGGCGCGAAAAGCGUGGGGAGCAAACAGG